AAACACCACUGUGACUGGUCGAGAAGCCAUGGUUGCUAAGCCGUUGCUAAGCAAAAUGUGGCCACACCUACCGCUUUUCUCCAUUGAAAUGUUAGGCAAAGCAGCUCUCUCGAGUCGCUCGCCUUUUCUACUCACUUCUAGAGGAUUUCACAAGCCAAAGUUUGGGUCGCGCUACUGGACUUUUCUACCUAUAUACUCUGUUUUUAGUCUUUGACAAUGUUAUAUAUGUUAGAGAGAUGAAAGGAGAACCUUUUAAAGC